rnacentral:rRNA from 1 species
GACGGAAGGUGCAAGCGUUGCUCGGAAUCACUGGGCUUAAAGGGUGCGUAGGCGGCUGCCUAAGUCAGGUGUGAAAUCUCCCGGACUCAACCGGGAACUGCGUUCGAUACUGGACGGCUAGAGUCUGGUAGGGGGAUCUGGAAUUCCUGGUGUAGCGGUGGAAUGCGCAGAUAUCAGGAGGAACACCGGUGGCGAAGGCGGGUCUCUGGGCCGAUGACUGACGCUGGAGGAGCGAAAGCGUGGGGAGCAAACAGG